rnacentral:rRNA from 1 species
GACAGAGGUUGCAAACGUUGUUCGGAAUUACUGGGCAUAAAGCGCACGUAGGUGGUCCGCUAAGUCGAUUGUGAAAUUCCCCGGCUCAACCGGGGAACGGCACUCGAUACUGGCGGGCUUGAGGUCCGGAGGGGUGAGUGGAACUCCUGGUGGAGCGGUGAAAUGCGUAGAUAUCAGGAGGAACACCGGUGGCGAAAGCGGCUCACUGGCCGGAAUCUGACGCUGAGGUGCGAAAGCUAGGGUAGCAAACGGG